rnacentral:rRNA from 1 species
UAGUCGGUGCGGUAACGGCGCACCGAGGCUACGAUGGGUAGGGGCCCUGAGAGGGGGAUCCCCCACACUGGUACUGAGACACGGACCAGACUCCUACGGGAGGCAGCAGUGAGGAAUAUUGGACAAUGGGCGGGAGCCUGAUCCAGCCAUGCCGCGUGCAGGAAGACUGCCCUAUGGGUUGUAAACUGCUUUUUUACGGGAAGAAACACCCCCUCGUGAGGGGGCUUGACGGUACCGUACGAAUAAGGAUCGGCUAACUCCGUGCCAGCAGCCGCGGUAAUACGGAAAAUCCGAGCGUUAUCCAAAAUCAUUGGGUUUAAAGGGUCCGUAGGCGGGCGUCUAAGUCAGUGGUGAAAUCCCGCGGCUCAACCGUGGAAUUGCCAUUGAUACUGGUCGCCUUGAAUGGUCGUGAAGUGGCUAGAAUAUGUGGUGUAGCGGUGAAAUGCUUAGAUAUCACAUAGAAUACCGAUUGCGAAGGCAGGUCGCUAACGACGCAUUGACGCUGAUGGACGAAAGCGUGGGGAGCGAACAGGAUUAGAUACCCUGGUAGUCCACGCCGUAAACGAUGGAUACUAGCUGUCCGUCCCGAGUUGUCGGGAUGGGUGGCCAAGCGAAAGUGAUAAGUAUCCCACCUGGGGAGUACGUUCGCAAGAAUGAAACUCAAAGGAAUUGACGGGGGCCCGCACAAGCGGUGGAGCAUGUGGUUUAAUUCGAUGAUACGCGAGGAACCUUACCAGGGCUUGAAUGCAGUGCGACAGGGGCGGAAACGCCCCCUUCUUCGGACGCAUUGCAAGGUGCUGCAUGGUUGUCGUCAGCUCGUGCCGUGAGGUGUCAGGUUAAGUCCUAUAACGAGCGCAACCCCUGCCGCUAGUUGCCAGCAUGUAAAGAUGGGAACUCUAGCGGGACUGCCGGUGCAAACCGUGAGGAAGGUGGGGAUGACGUCAAAUCAUCACGGCCCUUACGUCCUGGGCCACACACGUGCUACAAUGGCCGGUACAAUGGGCAGCCACGCCGCAAGGCGGAGCGAAUCCACAAAACCGGUCUCAGUUCGGAUCGGGGUCUGCAACUCGACCCCGUGAAGCUGGAAUCGCUAGUAAUCGGAUAUCAGCCAUGAUCCGGUGAAUACGUUCCCGGGCCUU